GUCACUGGCGACGCUGUCGUGGGGUUCCCCGCAAGAACUGCAGAAGCUGCCGAGUUCUAAGAGGAGGGUUGCGGAUCGAAACCCUGGUGUGAAGAGUUACUUGGUCGCAGUAGAGUGUAUUGGGACGCGAUCUCAGGGUUCCGGAAGCAGCCCAACUACAGAGGCGUCGGUGGACUUCUUGAGAGUGCUGGAGUGAACAUGAGAUUCCAGAUUAACUGAAUAUUUGAAGCAGUCAUCAUAAAGUGCCUUGUGAUGGAUCAGAGAUUCCAAACGUCAUCAUGUCUUGUGAUAAGCAAUUCUCUUAUAGUGAUGAUCUGCUUCAUGAUAGGCCUUCAAUAAAUGCUGGAAAGCUGGAACGAAAAGAGGCCGAUGUCCGAAAUCCAUGCAAGGAAGAAAGCAGGGAAAUGAAAGGAAGUUAAGGAUAGGCAUUGAAAUGCCCUUCAUUUCUCAGGUCCAGUGAACAAAGAAAAAAAGGGAAGACACUGCACUGCUGCAUGAGAUAAAAGCACAUAUUCUUCUUUUUGGCAGUGCAGUUUUGAUUCAAAUGAUGGCUUCAUGGGUAACAUUUUUUUUUUCUCCUUUUUCUGCUGCUACUUUCUCUUCACCUAAGAGCGGCACACAAACAUGUCGCCAAGGUUCAUGAUGAUCAUUGUUGGAUGUGGGGCUUGUGCUUCACUGGAGUCCAUUCUGUCAACAAUAAUUGAUGUUUUUUUCAUCUCAAUAGUUAAUCCAUAUUGUACAAAGCUAACUUGACACAAGAAUUAGUGGGGUUCCAGGUGAAAGCUGGAGCGCCAUCAGGUUGAUUCAUGCAAGGAUUCAAAUCGAUGAAGACAAACGGGAACCAGAAAUUCAA